CACGUAGGGUGCGAGCGUUGUCCGGAAUUAUUGGGCGUAAAGAGCUCGUAGGCGGUGUGUCACGUCGGCCGUGAAAACCUGCAGCUUAACUGUGGGCGUGCGGUCGAUACGGGCAUCACUGGAGUUCGGCAGGGGAGACUGGAAUUCCUGGUGUAGCGGUGAAAUGCGCAGAUAUCAGGAGGAACACCGGUGGCGAAGGCGGAUCUCUGGGCCAUUACUGACGCUGGGGAGCGAAAGCGUGGGGAGCGAACAGG
rnacentral:rRNA from 1 species